rnacentral:rRNA from 1 species
UCUUGGUCAUUUAGAGGAAGUAAAAGUCGUAACAAGGUUUCCGUAGGUGAACCUGCGGAAGGAUCAUUAACGAAUAUAAUUCGAGGGGUUGUCGCUGGCCUCGCUCGCGCGAGGCAUGUGCACGCUUCUCGUUUUUCUCUCAACUCACCUGUGCACCUAAUGUAGGAUGCCUCUCCUCCGGGAGGGGGGACCUAUGUCUUCGUAACAUCUUCGUGUAGAAAGUCUUUGAAUGUUUACUAUCAUCGAGUCGCGACUUCUAGGAGACGCGAUUCUUUGAGAUAAAAGUUAUUACAACUUUCAGCAACGGAUCUCUUGGCUCUCGCAUCGAUGAAGAACGCAGCGAAAAGCGAUAUGUAAUGUGAAUUGCAGAUCUACAGUGAAUCAUCGAAUCUUUGAACGCACCUUGCGCUCCUCGGUGUUCCGAGGAGCAUGCCUGUUUGAGUGUCAGUAAAUUCUCAACCCCUCUCGAUUAGCUUCGAGAGGGCGCUUGGAUAGUGGAGGUUGCCGGAGACUUGGAUUCGUCCGAGACUCGGGCUCUUCUGAAAUGCAUCGGCUUGCGGUCGACUUUCGACUAUGUGCGACAAGGCUUUCGGCGUGAUAAUGAUCGCCGUUCGCUGAAGCGCAUGACUGAACGUCCCGUGCCUCUAAUACGUCGACCGCUUAUUAUCUCUCCGGAGAGAACAGGGUCUUCCUAAUUGACUUUUGACCUCAAAUCAGGUAGGACUACCCGCUGAACUUAAGCAUAUCAAUAAGCGGAGGAAAAGAAACUAACAAGGAUUCCCCUAGUAACUGCGAGUGAAGAGGGAAAAGCUCAAAUUUUGAAUCUGGCGGUCUUUAGGCCGUCCGAGUUGUAAUCUAGAGAAGCGUCUUCCGCGCUGGA